rnacentral:rRNA from 1 species
UACGUAGGGGGCAAGCGUUGUCCGGAUUUAUUGGGCGUAAAGCGUCUGCAGGUGGUUUCCUAAGUCCACUGUUAAACCUUGAGGCUCAACCUCAAAUCUGCAUUGGAAACUAGGAGACUUGAGUAUAGUAGGGGUAGAGGGAAUUUCCAGUGGAGCGGUGAAGUGCGUAGAUAUUGGAAAGAACACCGAUGGCGAAGGCACUCUACUGGGCUAUUACUGACACUCAGAGACGAAAGCUAGGGGAGCAAACAGG